AUUGAACGCUGGCGGCAGGCCUAACACAUGCAAGUCGAACGAGCGGCGGACGGGUGAGUAAUGUAUGGGGACUGCCCGAUAGAGGGGGAUAACUACUGGCAACGGUCGCUAAUACCGCAUACUCUCGAAUAACCCAUAUGGGAUUAGCUAGUAGGGGGGGUAAAGGCUCACCUGGGCGCCGAUCCCUCGCUGGUCUGAGAGGAUGAUCAGCCAAAAUGGACCUGAGACACGGCCAAGACUCCUACGGAGGCAGCAGUGGGGAAUAUAGCACAAUGGGCGCAAGCCUGAUGCAGCAAUGCCGCGUGUAUGAAGAAGGCCUUAGGGUUGUAAAGUACUUUCAGCGGGGAGGCGUUACCCGCAGAAGAAGCACCGGCUAACUCCGUGCCAGCCGCCGCGGUAAUAC
rnacentral:rRNA from 1 species